rnacentral:rRNA from 1 species
GAGGAAUAUUGGGCAAUGCCCGAAAGGGUGACCCAGCAACGUCGCGUGGAGGAUGAAGGUCGUAAGAUUGUAAACUCCUGUUAGAGGGGAAGAAUAACUAAGGUUGGAGCUUAGUAUGACUGUACCCUCAGAGAAAGCCCCGGCUAACUACGUGCCAGCAGCCGCGGUAAUACGUAGGGGGCAAGCGUUGUCCGGAUUUACUGGGUGUAAAGGGCGCGCAGGCGGAAUGGAAAGUCAGUGGUGAAAUCCUACAGCUUAACUGUAGAACUGCCUUUGAUACUUUCAUUCUUGAGUUCGGGAGAGAGAGACGGAAUUCCAGGUGUAGUGGUGAAAUACGUAGAUAUCUGGAAGAACACCAGUUGCGAAGGCGGUCUCUUGGUCCGAUACUGACGCUGAGGCGCGAAAGCGUGGGGAGCAAACA